rnacentral:rRNA from 1 species
AACUCAAAUGAAUUGACGGGGGCCCGCACAAGCGGUGGAGCAUGUGGUUUAAUUCGAUGCAACGCGAAGAACCUUACCUGGUCUUGACAUCCACAGAACUUUCCAGAGAUGGAUUGGUGCCUUCGGGAACUGUGAGACAGGUGCUGCAUGGCUGUCGUCAGCUCGUGUUGUGAAAUGUUGGGUUAAGUCCCGCAACGAGCGCAACCCUUAUCCUUUGUUGCCAGCGGUCCGGCCGGGAACUCAAAGGAGACUGCCAGUGAUAAACUGGAGGAAGGUGGGGAUGACGUCAAGUCAUCAUGGCCCUUACGACCAGGGCUACACACGUGCUACAAUGGCGCAUACAAAGAGAAGCGACCUCGCGAGAGCAAGCGGACCUCAUAAAGUGCGUCGUAGUCCGGAUUGGAGUCUGCAACUCGACUCCAUGAAGUCGGAAUCGCUAGUAAUCGUGGAUCAGAAUGCCACGGUGAAUACGUUCCCGGGCCUUGUACACACCGCCCGUCACACCAUGGGAGUGGGUUGCAAAAGAAGUAGGUAGCUUAACCUUCGGGAGGGCGCUUACCACUUUGUGAUUCAUGACUGGGGUGAAGUCGUAACAAGGUAACC